GGGCUGGGGCUCAGUGGUAGAUCUCUUACCUGGCAAAUGAGAGGCCCUGGGUUCGAUCCUCAGCACCACA
rnacentral:tRNA from 1 species